UCCGAUAUGGUGUAAUGGCUAACAUCUGACGCUCUCAUUUCCCUCUUAGAAAGAUCGGGGUCCGUCAAGCUCGGGGUUCGAUUCCCCGUAUCGGAG